GAUGAACGCUGGCGGCGUGCCUAAUACAUGCAAGUCGAGCGAACAGACGAGGAGCUUGCUCCUCUGACGUUAGCGGCGGACGGGUGAGUAACACGUGGAUAACCUACCUAUAAGACUGGGAUAACUUCGGGAAACCGGAGCUAAUACCGGAUAAUAUAUUGAACCGCAUGGUUCAAUAGUGAAAGACGGUUUUGCUGUCACUUAUAGAUGGAUCCGCGCCGCAUUAGCUAGUUGGUAAGGUAACGGCUUACCAAGGCAACGAUGCGUAGCCGACCUGGGAGGGUAAUCGGCCACACUGGAAAUGAGACACGGUCCAGACUCCUACGGGAGGCAGCAGUAGGGAAUCAUCCGCAAUGGGCGAAAGCCUGACGGAGCAACGCCGCGUGAGUGAUGAAGGUCUUCGGAUCGUAAAACUCUGUUAUUAGGGAAGAACAAAUGUGUAAGUAACUAUGCACGUCUUGACGGUACCUAAUCAGAAAGCCACGGCUAACUACGUG
rnacentral:rRNA from 1 species